GGCUCAGGAUGAACGCUAGCGGCAGGCUUAAUACAUGCAAGUCGUGGGGCAGCAUGAGUAGCAAUACUUGAUGGCGACCGGCAAACGGGUGAGGAACACGUACACAACCUUCCUUCAAGCGGGGAAUAGCCCAGAGAAAAUUUGGAUUAAUACCCCAUAAUAUAUUUGAUAAGGCAUCUUAUUAAUAUUAAAGCUUCGGCACUUGAUGAUGGGUGUGCGGCUGAUUAGAUAGUUGGCGGGGUAACGGCCCACCAAGUCUACGAUCAGUAGCUGAUGUGAGAGCAUGAUCAGCCACACGGGCACUGAGACACGGGCCCGACUCCUACGGGAGGCAGCAGUAAGGAAUAUUGGACAAUGGACGAAAGUCUGAUCCAGCCAUGCCGCGUGAAGGAUUAAGGUCCUCUGGAUUGUAAACUUCUUUUAUAUGGGACGAAAAAGGGCAUUCUUGUUCACUUGACGGUACCAUAUGAAUAAGCACCGGCUAACUCCGUG
rnacentral:rRNA from 1 species